rnacentral:rRNA from 1 species
AUUGAACGCUGGCGGCAGGCCUAACACAUGCAAGUCGAGCGAGCGGCGGACGGGUGAGUAAUGUAUGGGGACUGCCCGAUAGAGGGGGAUAACUACUGGAAACGGUAGCUAAUACCGCAUACUAUUGGAUAAUCGAUAGGCGAUUGGCUAGUAGGUGUGGUCAUGGCUCACCUAGGCGACGAUCCCUAGCUGGUUUGAGAGGCUGAUCAGCCAACCGGGGACGGUGACACGGCCUAGCUUCCUACGGAGGAAGGGGUGGGGAAUAUUGGACAAUGGGCGCAAGGCUGAUGCAGCCAUGCCGCGUGUAUGAAGGAGGCCCUAGGGUUGUAAAGUACUUUCAGUCUGGAGACGUUACCUACAGAAGAAGCGCCGGCUAACUCCGUGCCAGCAGCCGCGGUAAUUC